rnacentral:rRNA from 1 species
UACGUAGGGUCCGAGCGUUGUCCGGAAUUAUUGGGCGUCAAGGGCUCGUAGGCGGUUUGUCGCGUCGGGAGUGAAAACUCAGGGCUCAACCCUGAGCGUGCUUCCGAUACGGGCAGACUAGAGGUAUUCAGGGGAGAACGGAAUUCCUGGUGUAGCGGUGGAAUGCGCAGAUAUCAGGAGGAACACCGGUGGCGAAGGCGGUUCUCUGGGAAUUACCUGACGCUGAGGAGCGAAAGCAUGGGGAGCGAACAGG